GUUAAAAACCGUUAAAAAAAAUUGGGACUAACGACACAAAUUUUAUGUCAACUAAGUUGAUUUCACUUGCUCCCUUCAUCCCCAGGGAAUUUCAAAGGAAACCGCGAUCGCUAAAUGAAAUUUGUUGAUGGAGAGUUCCGGCAAUUUGCACUUUAUUCGGGCUUAGUCGUUUUAAAAGGAUGAUGAAAAAAGGCGGUUUGAAGCGAAAUUUGUCGAGCCUCCUGGGGCCCGAGAUAAUAAAAUCUUUUAAUUAUGAUGGCAUGCAGGGGAAAAAGGCUUUCCGUAACUUAGCUGAGCUUAACAAUAUAUUUUUUAACGCUGCCGAAGACGUGACAAUGCGGGAGCAAUAUCGAUCCGAAAGGAAAAGCGGAUUUAAAUUAAGCAAAAGUCGACAAUAUAAAGCAACUCAUUUGCUUAAGAAGCAAAGUAUUUAA